UGACACCACUUUUACGCAAUUUUGGUAAUAUUUACAAAAAAUAUGUAUAUUUUACCAAUGUUUUGGCUACUAAAGAUUUGGUAGCUGCUUUUACUAAACUAUUUCUUCAGUGUAGCCUUAGGUUGAUACCAGAGUGAACGCGACACACGAUGCGAUGCGAUUCUACGAGACUUUUGACAAAAAAUCGCGAACAAGAUGCGUUCAUUUGGCUCUUGCAAAAAACUGCCGCAUAUGCCAGAGUAAACGCGAUGCGAUGCGACAAGUGAAUUUCUGCGCGACACAAAAUCAACCUCGACGUGUUUCUGUGAUCGUAAGCGGUUAUAUUUCAGAGAAAUGCACUUAGGAAUCAGCGAACUCUAAACUACAGAUAGUUCCGGGUUCUGGUCAAUAAGUGUUGGAAAGAUGUUUCGGAUGAAAUAAUUAUUUGUAUGGAAGUUCGAAUAUUCAUUGAAAAGGGUUUUGUUUUCAAUUUCAGACUAUGCUGCUAAAGGAAAAUGGCAAAUUUUAUGUGACUCUUCUGGACGUGAACUGCGGAAGUUACCGGAGUCGAGAUCUGGGAAUAUUGAUUACGACAGUAUUUCCACUAACUGACCAUACUUCGGCAGUCUAUUGUUUUUGAAGCAACAAAUGAAGUGCGGUGACAACAUCAUUCGUAACCGACAACGAGAGUACGAAAUUAUACACAUGCAUCGACGUUUUGGAAGAUUUUUUCGAAAUUCCACCGAGCCAAUUUGAAACGUUCCAGGUAGCCGAAACAUCCGCCGUACAGACAUCAAGUGCCUGAGUUCCGACUCCUACAAAAUGAAAUUAUAGAACAGAAUUGGGAAAAAAAUGCUUCUGGAAUGAGUUCAGUGACAAAUUGGUUUUAGUUCCAGGGACUUUUUUUCAGAAUGGAUUUAGUUCGUACUUUUUAUAAGGUGGUCGGUAAUCUUCCUAUUUUAAAUUGGCUAUGUUAGCUGAAUAAGAAAUACUACUUUAAUUAGUUCAUACUGCUCAACAUACAACAUAUAUUCAUACUAUUCAACUAAUUAUUAGUUCAUACAAUGCAUUUUUAUUUCUCCGACUUGUCGACAAACGACAAACUUAUUUCGAAUUGGAAUUUCCGUGUCUGUGGAGUAUGUGAAAUGGUUGAUUUAUUAUAAACUAAUGGUGUUGCAAAGUUUUCAGUUUUCAACAGAAACACGUUGUUCCGGUUCAACCGGAAAGGGAACCUGGUGAAACUUCGAAACGCCUUUCCAACAAUUAGGCUGAUUGCUGAGCAAGAGGACGUGCAUCACCAACAUGUAGGGCAGAUUGUUUUGCCGUUAUAUUCAUAACUAUUCAUAAUUUCAUCCCAGAGGAUCUUAAUCCAUAGAGUGACGACAACACCGCGGAAUCUGAAAUAUCAAAACACCAGAAUGUUGGGCCAAAUAUCGAAGUUCACAUUAAAACGUCGAAGGAUGGAUACCAUAAUGCUGGGUUAUAGUGCUAUGAUGGAGUCCAACGCUUCAUCGUCAAGAAGAAGGAGAAGUGAAAUUAGAAAGAAAAAUGCUAUCAUGAAUUUAUCAGAAACAGAGAGAUCCGAGAAGAGUUUCCUUGCCAAAAACACCAUGGGCUAUCGGUAGAGGAUAAGCUUGCUGCCUGCCUACGUUUUUUUUUGCAGAAGGAGGCUACCAAAAUUGAACUAGCAAGGACCAUGAUGUGGCAAUAGCUCAGUCAACGUUCUCGAAGCUUUGCUCGAGUCUCGUGUUCAAGUAUCUAGAAACAGCGGCAGCCAAAAAGGAGAAAUCGACUACUACUACUACUACGGAGGUCGGCGCUCUCGUCGAAAAAUUCCUCCGGAAGGCUGUUGGAUGGUACCCAGAGCCAACGAGGUCACUUCGAUUCUGGAUACAACACAAGCGAUGGAAGUUUCGAUUGUAAGCGAUGGUCCCAGGAGGAUCCGCACGAUAGUAUUGGUCCCUAUUCGCCCAAAUGUUCGCCCAUUCCAAUGCAUACAGGCUUCAGUGGGAAACCACCACCACCUUCAGUUGCACCAACAGCAGCAAGAGCUACAGCUGGUCGUUCUAAUGUAGGUUCGCUUGGGGAGCACGCACCCCGCUGCAGGAUCAGCACGAACGAAAGAAGCAGUCGAAUAAGGCCGACAUUUCUCCAGAAGGUGAUUUGACACUUGGUAGUGUUCGAUGGAGAGAUGUGAACGUUAGGAAAUAUCCAACCUUAUAGCACCAACACUAACAUCCCCCUACGCAUGUCGCGUUACACCUGAAUAUUCCAUGCUUCUUAUUCAAAAAGUAAUAAAGUUUUGAUAAAACUCUUAAA